ACCAUGCAGGUUUUUAAGUUCUUUUAAAUACUGAGCACUAAUAUUUGACCAUUGUCUUUUGCAGAGAGCAGCUCCACAUCGACAUGUGAGACAGUUCCACACAGAAAAGGGAAAAGAGCCAGUGAGGUGGAUGAGGAUGAAGGUUCUGAACAUCAUAUUAAAAAGAGACGUUACUCCCGCAGAGAUGAUGAAGGCUCCGAUACAGAUGAUGAAGGCUCCGAUACAGAUGAUGAAGGUCAGAGCCCAGGAACAAGACCAAUUAAGAACUCACAGAAAAUGACAACACACAAACGAACCGAG